GACAAACGCUGGCGGCAUGCCUAACACAUGCAAGUCGAACGGACAGAACAGGGAAGCUUUUCGGAGUGGAACUGGAAAGUUAGUGGCGGAUGGGUGAGUAACGCGUGGACAACCUACCUUGUAAAGGGGAAUAACCUCGAGAAAUCGAAGCUAAUACCCCAUAAUAACCUUGCUUCGCAUGAAGUAAGGAGGAAAGGCGGCCUUAGCGCUGUCGAUACAAGAUGGGUCCGCGUCUGAUUAGCUAGUUGGUGAGGUAAAGGCUCACCAAGGCGACGAUCAGUAACGGGGCCGAGAGGAGGACCAGGCACACUGGAACUGAGACACGGGCCAGACGCAGACGGGAGGAAGCAGGGGGGAAUAGUGGACAAGGGGCGAAAGCUUUAGCCAGGCAUGCAGCGGGGGUGAAGAAGGUCUUCGGAGUUUAAAGCACUUGAAGUGGGGAGGAAGGGCAGGAAGUUAAUACCUUGCUGGUUUGACGUGACCAACAGAAUAGGCACCGACUAACCUCGUG
rnacentral:rRNA from 1 species